UACGUAGGGUGCGAGCGUUGUCCGGAAUUAUUGGGCGUAAAGAGCUCGUAGGCGGUUUGUUGCGUCUAUCGUGAAAACCUGCAGCUUAACUGUGGGCUUGCGGUGGAUACGGGCAGACUUGAGUACUGCAGGGGAGACUGGAAUUCCUGGUGUAGCGGUGAAAUGCGCAGAUAUCAGGAGGAACACCGGUGGCGAAGGCGGGUCUCUGGGCAGUAACUGACGCUGAGGAGCGAAAGCGUGGGUAGCGAACAGG
rnacentral:rRNA from 1 species